AUACCAUGAUGCGAGCACUUCCUUAAUAACUCUUUGAAUCUCUCCCAUGCAGCAUCAGUGAUUACCCUUCUGUCUAGUAUAAAUUAUUAAUUUCCUCUCUCAACUU